AAAUCGUUCGUCGUCGAUAGUGAAUUGAAUGAAUAUCAGUAUCACAUUCACGACGGGGAUUUAUAAGCAUCAGCCUCACAAGAGUUCCACUGGUGUUGUGGCGGACUGGAUGGCGCUCUCCAAUUCCCCCUCCCUCUUAUCGUCUUCUUGCUCGGUAUGCUACUACAGGCUCAACCCACUGCUCUUCUCCAUCCAACGGCGUCGCCAUGUCUCUCUCUCACGCCCUCAUUUCAUUUGUUCGAGAAGCACCCGUCUUGCUACUGUGGCUGGGAUGAAGGAUAGUGGUGCGUUUACUUCUCCCGAAGUAGCAAAAUCUUUUGACUUCACAGCCGAAGAAAGGAUAUACAAAUGGUGGGAGUCGCAGGGGUAUUUCAAACCAAAUUCUGAGAGAGGAAGUGAACCAUUUGUAAUUUCGAUGCCCCCUCCCAACGUUACAGGCUCAUUACAUAUGGGGCAUGCCAUGUUUGUAACACUUGAGGAUAUUAUGAUUAGAUACCAUAGAAUGAGAGGAAGACCUACGCUCUGGCUUCCUGGGACUGAUCAUGCUGGUAUUGCAACCCAGCUGGUGGUGGAAAGAAUGCUGGCUGCAGAAGGAGUAAAAAGAGUUGAUUUGGGCAGAGAAGAAUUUACCAAAAGAGUAUGGGAAUGGAAAGAAAAAUAUGGUGGAACAAUCACAAAUCAAAUUAAGAGACUUGGUGCUUCUUGUGAUUGGACCAGAGAACGUUUUACCCUUGAUGCCCAGCUGAGUCGAGCAGUAGUUGAAGCAUUUGUCAGGCUGCAUGAGAAAGGUCUCAUUUAUCAAGGUUCUUAUCUGGUCAAUUGGUCCCCCAAUUUGCAGACUGCAGUUUCUGACCUUGAAGUGGAGUACUCAGAAGAACCAGGUGCACUGUACUACAUCAAGUAUCGUGUUGCUGGUGGUUCGAGGAGUGACUUCUUGACAAUUGCAACAACAAGGCCCGAGACUUUAUUUGGUGAUACAGCUGUAGCAGUGAAUCCAGCGGAUGAGCGAUAUUCGAAGUACAUUGGGAAAAUGGCUAUUGUUCCUAUGACAUACGGCAGGCACGUGCCCAUUAUCUCCGAUAAGUAUGUGGAUAAAGACUUUGGGACUGGUGUCUUGAAGAUAAGCCCUGGUCAUGAUCACAAUGACUAUCUUCUUGCUCGGAAACUUGGUCUCCCCAUCCUUAAUGUCAUGAAUAAAGAUGGAACUUUAAAUGAAGUUGCUGGAUUAUACUGUGGUCUUGAUCGGUUUGAGGCAAGGAAGAAACUUUGGUCAGAUCUUGAGGAGACGGGGCUAGCAGUAAAAAAGGAGGCUCACACUCUACGGGUUCCAAGAUCACAGCGUGGUGGAGAGAUAAUCGAACCCCUGGUAAGCAAGCAGUGGUUUGUGACAAUGGAGCCCUUGGCAGAGAAGGCCUUCGAAGCAGUAGAAAAAGAAGAAUUAACUAUAGUGCCUGAAAGAUUUGAGAAGAUAUAUAAUCACUGGCUGUCGAAUAUCAAAGACUGGUGUAUAAGCAGGCAGCUGUGGUGGGGACACCGGAUACCUGUUUGGUACAUAGUGGGUAAAGAUUGUGAAGAGGAGUAUAUUGUUGCUAGAAACACAGAAGAAGCUUUCAAUAAAGCUCGUGAAAAGUAUGGGGAAAGUGUUGAAAUAUACCAGGAUCCAGAUGUUCUUGACACUUGGUUUUCCAGUUCAUUGUGGCCAUUCAGCACUCUCGGUUGGCCAGACACAUCCGCAAAGGAUUUUAAGGCAUUUUAUCCUACUUCACUUCUUGAGACUGGGCAUGACAUUUUAUUCUUUUGGGUGGCAAGAAUGGUUAUGAUGGGAAUAGAGUUAACUGGGACCAUUCCAUUUUCAAAUGUUUAUCUCCAUGGACUUAUACGAGAUUCUCAAGGCCGGAAAAUGUCAAAAACACUGGGAAAUGUUAUUGAUCCACUUGAUUCAAUCAAAGAGUAUGGCACUGAUGCUCUACGCUUCACACUUUCCUUAGGAACGGCUGGACAGGAUCUAAAUUUAUCAACUGAGAGAUUGAACUCUAACAAAGCACUCACAAACAAACUCUGGAAUGCUGGAAAGUUUGUGUUACAGAAUUUGCCGCGUCAAGAUGAUAAAUUGGCUUGGGAAGCUGUACAGGACUUUAAGUUUGAUGCUGAAGAUUAUCUAUUAAAGCUACCUCUGCCAGAAUGUUGGGUGGUAUCAAAACUUCAUAUGUUGAUAGAUGCGGUCACUGCUAGUUAUGACAAGUUUUUCUUUGGAGAUGUUGCCAGAGAAAUAUAUGAUUUCUUUUGGUUUGAUUUUGCUGAUUGGUAUAUUGAAGCAAGUAAAGCCAGGCUGUAUCACUCUGGUGGUGACUCAGUUGCUUCUGUGGCGCAAGCAGUUCUCUUGUAUGUCUUCGAAAACAUACUGAAAUUACUUCACCCAUUUAUGCCUUUUGUAAGCGAAGCACUUUGGCAGUCACUACCCAACCGAGAAGAAGCUUUGAUAGUGUCAGCUUGGCCUCCCACUUCUCUUCCAAGGCAUGCUGAAUCAGUGAAGAAAUUUGAGAACUUACAAGCCUUGACAAGAGCUAUCCGCAAUGCACGGGCAGAGUACUUGGUUGAGCCAGCAAGACGAAUAUCUGUUUGUGUUGUUGCAAGUUCAGAAGUCCUGCAAUAUAUUUCUAACGAAAAAGAAGUCUUGGCUCUUCUCUCUAGACUAGAUCUGCAAAAUGUCACGUUUACAGGAACUCCCCCAGGAGAUGCCAAUCAAUCAGUCCAUCUUGUUGCCAGUGAAGGUUUGGAGGCUUACCUUCCUCUUGCUGACAUGGUAGAUAUUUCUGCUGAAGUUCAAAGACUUACAAAGCGCAUUGCAAAAAUGCAAACCGAGUAUGAUGCACUCAUGACACGCCUAAGCUCUCCAAGUUUUGUAGAGAAAGCUCCUGAGAAUGUUGUCUCUGGGGUUCGAGAAAAAGCAGCAGAAGCAGAAGAAAAACUAGCUUUAACAAGAAAACGCCUUGCAUUUCUCCAGUCCACAGUUUUGGUAUCUAACUGAAGUCGCUAAGAGUCCUCGGCUUCCAAUUAGCAACUGGGGUGCAGUCUUCAAGUUGUAGCGCGACAAUGAUAUAUUCUUUUUUGUGCUGAAUCCUAUCCAUUGAGCUCUGAAUUUGAAGAAGAUACAUUUGUUGUGAUUAGAAAGACCAUAAGUUACAUAGAGAAAGAAAGGAAAGGAGUUCAUGAACUACACAGCACAAGCGAGGGCUAUCUAUAAACCAUGUCUUCUAUUUUUUGAAAGAUAACAAAAAAUUGCUAUGUUCUUGAUUAUACACAAUACACAACGUAGAUUGAAUGCACUUGAUUAUGAGCUGUUUGCAGCAAAAAUCGGUAACUUGUAAAA